rnacentral:lncRNA from 1 species
AUCUUCACGUAUGAAAUCUAAAAGGGAAUGAAAAUCCCUAAUCUUCAUCUUCUCUUCUCUUCCAUAGGCGGCGUCAGUGGCCAAGGCUAUCGACGACGGCGACGAUUGGGGCCGCCAAUGGCGACGGUGACGCCCUGAGACCGUUUUCUCUUCUUCUCCUCUCUAUUAUUUCCUUAAAAGGAGAUUAUAAUCCCUAAUUCCAUCUUCUCAUUCUCUCCGGGAUAGCUUCCGAGGAGCCAUCUAUGGUAAACACCGAAUCUGAAAGGGCGCAUUGGCGGUGGUGCAACCUCAAUAGUCGUUCCCGCCCCAAAUACUAACCCCAUAACCUAAGAAUUACUGAAACCCGAGAGAGAGAGAGAGAGAGAGAGAGAGAGAGGAAAGAUGUCGACUGGUCACGGUUUCAGAUCAUGCACAAGAGACUCGUUCUCUCGCGCUUUCGGGAAGAAGGGUACAAUCCCUCUCAN